CGAGCACUGGUAACAAGGGGUGGAUCACUUUUUCAAUGUGCAUCGAAUGUACAUCGAUUUGCAUCAAAUGUAUAUUUUCGACAUUCGCAUCAACUUAGCUUUGGCAUUUACAACAUUAUGUUAUCAACGAAUUGUUCCAUAGCAACGCGUAGACAUUUGUUUGUUGUGAAUGUUCAAAAUUGUUUUUUGUUUCUUUCCUAUGCAAUCCAUUUGCUAAUUUUUAUUUGUGUCAGGCGAUCGAGCAAAUAUUUCAAAAUGGAAUUACUAGCAAGCAGGAGUAGUUGGAAAUCCGUUCUCGGGAAGCCCGUAAUCUGUAAAGCGACUCCACCCUACUGAAGGUGGACCGGAGCUUCAUUUGAUUGUACAAAUCUGUAUCGACUUGUAGAAAUCCGAUUGAUCGAAAUGAAAAAUACAACAAAUUGUUAAACUUUGA